rnacentral:sRNA from 1 species
AUGGGCUGCUGGUUGGACAUAAAGGUCUCAAAGAAGGAAUUGAUAAAGUGAGCGACUUGCACAAAAAGGCUGGGCAGCAAUGGCUCCGCUAAGUCGAUUCUCGGUUACUGGCGGUCACCAGCAUUUAUUUUUGAUAUAGGUAAGUGUCACUGGCCCGAAGAAUUGUUGAUAAUCACCCGACUUGAAUGGCUUGUGUGCUGGUUGCCUUAGUGGAGAAUGUUGUACUUCGGCGCUCAUUACCCAUUGAGUGCUCGCUUCAGUGCGAGUCUCAUCUAGAAGAAUUUAUGCAGGAGCGGAUGAUGAAUGUCAUCCCAUCUCGCUCUUCAACUACUCCACCCUUCCAUCUAAAUUGACGGAGAAGGGUCACUUUGAUUCAUCCGUGAUGAUCCUCUGCUAACCGCCCAUUUACGCAGAAGGCUAAAGGGGCAAUUAGGAGGAACUGUGUAAGAUAACGUCCAUUUUGAAGAAUUGAUGAAUACAAU